rnacentral:rRNA from 1 species
AUUGAACGCUGGCGGCAGGCCUAACACAUGCAAGUCGAGCAGAUGAAGGGAGCUUGCUCCUGGAUUCAGCGGCGGACGGGUGAGUAAUGCCUAGGAAUCUGCCUGGUAGUGGGGGAUAACGUCCGGAAACGGGCGCUAAUACCGCAUACGUCCUGAGGGAGAAAGUGGGGGAUCUUCGGACCUCACGCUAUCAGAUGAGCCUAGGUCGGAUUAGCUAGUUGGUGGGGUAAAGGCCUACCAAGGCGACGAUCCGUAACUGGUCUGAGAGGAUGAUCAGUCACACUGGAACUGAGACACGGUCCAGACUCCUACGGGAGGCAGCAGUGGGGAAUAUUGGACAAUGGGCGAAAGCCUGAUCCAGGCAUGCCGCGUGUGUGAAGAAGGUCUUCGGAUUGUAAAGCACUUUAAGUUGGGAGGAAGGGCAGUAAGUUAAUACCUUGCUGUUUUGACGUUACCAACAGAAUAAGCACCGGCUAACUUCGUG